AUCUUUCAGAUCUGAAGCAGGACUGAAAGCAUAAGAUUUUGUUGCUGCUUUUUCCUGCCUUAUUCAGAGGCCUGAAACUAAAUCUGGAAUUUCUAGAUAUCAGCUUUUCAGUACUGACAGAACUCUAACUCAGUACUAGGAUAUAUUUUCUACCAGUUUAGAGCACCUCAAUACUGAAAGGACAUUGAUGUGCUGGAGCAGGUCCAAAGAAGGGCAACAGUGCUCGUGAAGAGCUUGGAGAAUAUGUCCUAUGAGGAGCAACUGAAGGAACCAGGGCUGUUCAGUCUGGGGAAGAGGAGGCUGAGGGGAGACCUUAUUGAUCUCUUCCAGUACCUGAAAGGUGAUUACAGCAAGAGCAGGGUUGGUCUCUUCUCACUGGUAACAGGAUGAGGGGAAAUGGCCUUAAGUUGUGCCAGGUUGAGUUUAGGUUGGAUAUCAGGAAAAAACUUCUUUACAGAAAGGGCAGUUAAGCACUGCAAUAGGCUCCCCAGGGAGGUGGUUGAGUCACCAUUCCUGAAUGUGUUUAGAAACCAUUUGAAUGUGGUGUUCAGGGACAUGAUUUAGCAUAGGGUUGAUUGAGUUGGGGUAGUAUGGUUAGGUUGCAGUUGGACUUGAUGAUCUUCAAGGUCUUUUUCAACCUGACUAAUUCUAUGAUUCUAUGAUUCUAUGAUCUACAUAUUUUCUGAACAGCUCUUGGGAAGGUAACUCCACCACUUCUCUGGACAGCUCAUUCCAAUGUAUUACUAUUCUUUCAGAGAAGAAUUUUUCUUAAUAUACAAUUUGAACCUCCCCUGACACAACUUGAGGCCAUUACCUCUCAUCAUCAACUCCAUCAGUCUCUGGCCAUCCAGCCAGUUUUCUGCUCAGUGGAGAGUGCACGUGUACACCUUGUUACCUCAUUUUGUCUUUUAAACAGUAAUCAAAUUAAAUUUAUACUGAGUAGUAAAUCAAAUCAAAUGACUCUGAUGUCCAGAGGUGAAAAAUGAAAAUAGAGAAUGAAAUUGGGACCAAAAAAAAAAAAAAAAAGAAAGAAAAGCAUUAGGAAACUAUGUUCAUUUUAUACACCAUUCACUUUUGUUACUAGUGUCAGUGCAAAACUUUAUUCUUAUUUUUUAGCUGAAAUUCCUUAUAGAAUAUAUUCAUGGAAAUGAAUAAUCUCUUAAGUAUAUGUACACAUUUGCAUACAGAAACUGUACUACAGAAAGCAC
ensembl:lncRNA